rnacentral:rRNA from 1 species
UACGGAGGAUGCGAGCGUUAUCCGGAUUUAUUGGGUUUAAAGGGUGCGUAGGCGGCCUGCCAAGUCAGCGGUAAAAUUGCGGGGCUCAACCCCGUACAGCCGUUGAAACUGCCGGGCUCGAGUGGGCGAGAAGUAUGCGGAAUGCGUGGUGUAGCGGUGAAAUGCAUAGAUAUCACGCAGAACCCCGAUUGCGAAGGCAGCAUACCGGCGCCCGACUGACGCUGAGGCACGAAAGUGCGGGGGGCAAACAGG